AAAGUAACAAUGAAACAGUCUCAAUUGAAUGCUGAUGCCUCUAUAUGACCUACAUAAGCAAACUAGACCAUCAGCGAGAACAUUGGCAAUUUCUAUAUGGUUAUUCUAAAUGCCUGUCACUUGGUCAGUGUCCCAGAAAAAU